AUCUAAAUAGUUUAAUUUUAAAAUGUUGGUUUGUGGUGCCGACGAUACAGGGGUUGUUUUAGGUU
rnacentral:tRNA from 1 species